UGAAACCUUCAGAGGAGCCAGGCUAGCUAAAUCAGUUAUUUUCAAAGAUUGUAUAAUAUUGAUCAGAAUGGAUUAUAUUUUAAAUUAUAAACCGGGUAGUUUGAGCCCUGAAUGCUGAUUGGUUGACAGCCGUGGUAUAUCAGACCGUAUACCACAGAACAUUGCCAAUGAAUACAGGAUAAGGCAAGGGCCUUGUCAUGCCAUCCAGAAAAGCACCCUGAGAAUCCAAGAGCAGGUGUUCGGAGCAUGCUAGAUAGAGGGACCACCUGUGCUAAUUAGCGGUCCUCCAUCUGUCUUCUGUAAACACAUGCCGUCACAUGGAGAUAUGGCCUGGUAGGAACACUAACCCUAACCAUA